UUCCACACUAGUUUGAUAGGUGUUUGUUAGUAUGAUAUCAGCACCAUCUAAUAAAUAAAAUACACGUAUGUAUGUAAUGGAAAAUAACCAUCGCUCUGUAUGAUUGCUUGAUCCAGCCAAUAGGUUCAAUUCUAUGCAAAUAUGUAUGGCUAUCAGCUUUUUCACAUGUGUGAGUAUGUUGUGUUUGUUUU